rnacentral:lncRNA from 1 species
CAAAAAACAAGCAGAAAAAAGUAUGCAGGUUUGAGAUAAGAGAUUACGGCGUGCAAUGCUGGCUGGGGUAGUAGGCAUGACCUGUUAAUUACAAGAUCCCAGACACAUGCACAGAAGAGUUCCCAGAGCCCUGCAUGUGGACUUCUCGUGAGAAUUUGAGCAGAUUUUCAGUAGGCAGUCUAGAUCUGAUGUCACCCUGAGGAGACCUGGGAGCCCAGCAUUGCCUCUUAGGAUCCAUAUGUAGUUCUCGAGGUUUUCCUUGAAAUUUGGACAAUAUAAAGGAUAUGCAGCACUGCGCCUGCCUGGCAAGCAUAAGGUCCUGAGUUCAAGUCCUAGUACCCACACAGAUGCUGUGAAGAGUACUCUAUGUUCCCAGACACAGCAUGUUCUUUUAGUUUUGCUUUUACCUUCUUUUUCUCUUCACUCAGCCCAAACUCACUCCGCAGAGUUUCUCCCCAACUCUUCACUUCUUUUUUAACUCUUCGCUUUUACUUUCUGCAGUAAAUUUGGCCAUUGCUUUUUGCUCAUUUUGUUCAAGUCUUUGUUUGAGACAAGAAGAACCUGGAAUCUAACUCCAGACGGAGAGGCAAGCAACCCAGAACCCAGUAACAUUUAGUUGGCGAGCCACUUUUAGAAGCAAGCUACCGGAUAACAGGUUUGCUGACUCCCGUCACGGAAAAAGAACUUUCAGGACUUAAUUCAUUCUUUGGUUUUGGAGAACUUGAACUUGGCGUAUGAGACAUCUAACAGGCAGGCAGAGGAACCACUGAGCUAAAUCCCCAGCCCUGCAAGUAAAAGUUAAUGAGCAGAC